GGGGGGGGGGGGCGGCGGGGGGGGGAGGGGGAGGGCGGGCGGGGCGGGCGGGGCGGGGGGGGCACGGGUGGGUGAGGCGGGGGAGGCUGCGCUUGGGUUCGGAGUAACUCCCCGAACGGGGGGCCAAUACCGGGCAAUGUGUCCGGCCCCACGCUUUAACGCCAUCGGAUGGGCGCGCGUUGGAUUAGACAGUGGGUAGGGUAAACUCCUACCACGGCGACGAUCCAUAGCCGGUCUGAGAGGAUGGUCAGCCACACUGGGACUCGGACGCGGCCCAGACUCCUACGGGAGGCAGCAGUGGGGAAUAUUGGACGAGGGGCGAAAGCCUGAUCCAGCAGUGCCGCGUGAGUGAUGAAGGCCUUAGGGUUGUAAAGCGCUUUUACACGGGAGGAUAAUGACAGUACCGGGAGAAUAAGCUCCGGCUAACUCCGUG
rnacentral:rRNA from 1 species